rnacentral:lncRNA from 1 species
CAGUGUAAAGCCAUCCAAAGAUAGACCCAGUCGGAUAUUGUAUGAUUCCUGAGCAAAUAAAAUAAAAGAUGGUAAGCAUCAAAUUACUUCCAUACCUCACUAUCUGAUGGAUGACUAUCAUAUCAGAGUGCUUGCAAAUUUUUUUUUUGUGCCAUCUUAUUUGUCCAGCAGUACUCUUAGACAAGUAGAACCUCCGAAGUCUAGGAGUGAGGAGA